AUGAGCACUAUCAGCUGGAACUAUCGAGGGCUUGGGAACCCUCAUACAGUUCAAGAGCUUCGCAAGAUUGUGAAGCAAGAAGGACCCGCCAUUCUGUUCGUAAUGGAGACCAAGAUCAAGGGCAAAAGAGUGGAAGAUCUGAAGUUUAUUUUAGGCUUCUCUGGUUGUUUUGCCGUCAAUAGCGACGGGCUUAGUGGAGGCAUCAGACUUUUUUGGUCCAAACAUGUUGACGUUAGUCUGAAUAAUUUCAGUCAAUCUCACAUUGAUGUAUCUGUCAAAGAGGAUAAUAAAACUUGGCGUUUCACUGGUUUCUAUGGAGUGCCAAGAGUGGAAAAUAGACAUCACAACUGGCGGUUUCUCCGCACGCUUUUUGCUGUCCCGCAUGAUGCAUGGAUCUGCAUGGGUGAUUUUAAUGAAACGAUGCAAGCGGACGAGCAUUUCAGUGUUAAUGCGCGGUCGGAAUACCAGAUGAGGGCGUUCCGGGACGCGGUUAACGAUUGUUCCUUACAAGAUUUGGGAUGGAGAGGUAUUCCCUAUACAUGGGAUAACGGACAACCUGGGCUCGCAAACGUGAAAGCCAGGUUGGAUCGAGCACUUGCCAAUGCGGGGUUUCUGAACUUGUUUCAGUUCACCUCCGUCAAGCAUUUAAGCAGUGUGGAGUAA
rnacentral:rRNA from 1 species